UAACACGUGGGGAACCUGCCCCAUAGUCUGGGAUACCACUUGGAAACAGGUGCUAAUACCGGAUAAGAAAGCGGAUCGCAUGAUCAGCUUUUAAAAGGCGGCGUAAGCUGUCGCUAUGGGAUGGCCCCGCGGUGCAUUAGCUAGUUGGUAAGGUAAAGGCUUACCAAGGCGAUGAUGCAUAGCCUAGUUGAGAGACUGAUCGGCCACAUUGGGACUGAGACACGGCCCAAACUCCUACGGGAGGCAGCAGCC
rnacentral:rRNA from 1 species